rnacentral:lncRNA from 10 species
CUUAACAUUUAUUUUAAAACAAACAAAAUAAACGGUCAUGAUGAUAUACAUACAAGACAUUUGAAGGUUAACUGUUCUUACUUCAAUAUUCAAUUAGUCAAUUUAGGCAGUCAUUAUUCCAACUUAGUAGUUACUUAAUUUGAACUACUUGGUUUUGCAACUGAAACUACUUAACCUGAAUUUAUAGGUGAAACACUCUGUGUACACACAUAAUCUAAGAAACAUCUUGCUAAGAGAACUGCAUGACAUACUAAUCUUAUGCAGCAUGUUAUUCCCUCUUUAACAUGUGUAGCUAUUUCUGCAGCUGUCCUCAGGACUCUUCAUUUUAUCUGAGAAAACUAUUUUCAUAAUAAAAACACUACUGAACUUGUUAUGUACAUGUUAGUUUAUAAAAAUCAGAAUCAAUUCAUAUUUAUGGCUAAUAUGAAGAAAAUGUGAAUUAUUAUCUGCUAAAAUAUUUGGACUACUUUUUUUUCAAAUAACCUCAGAAUACAUUAAGCUGUAAUAAUACAAUGAUGUUUGAUAGAUAUUAGUAAUUAUGAAGGUAACUUCAAUGACGGUAAUAUAAUUUCUACAUCAGACAGGGUCAUUUUAGAUUCAGAGGUAGUAUGAAUAUUGUGGCCCCAGACAAGAGGCAGUUUUAUAUAUCUGUGUUGCAUUAUUGUUACUCCUCUUUCACAAGAUUAAAGCUAAUCUGUUCCUAAAGGCUUUUCUGUGUUCUUUAAAUGUGUUUCAAGGGAGGUAUGGAUAGAUAAACCUGAAAAAUUAUGAAAAGAAUUGAAGAAAAUCAGUACAUUUAUUUGUUUUCUUAGUAUAUGCUAUUAUAUACCAUUAUAUGCUAUAGAAAAUAUGCAAAACUCAAACAUCUAUUUCCUAAAAUUAUUAAAAAUCUGUUAAUCAGAGUUUGAUGGUCUAAUCUUAACCAAUUGUGCCUUCUUAGAACUGGUAGAAAAUAAAUAAAUAAUAAUUACAUAAGCUCCUAACGUCUAUCUAGACUACUGUUCACACCCAGCACGCUAUCGUCCAAUUAAAGAUCACUAUAAUGGUUAGUCCUGAUUUUAGCCAAGAGGAAAAGCUUCUCAAAAUUAUUGUAUAUGUUUUUCAUGCAUGUCUGAAGGAGCUCUUUCCAAAAUGAAUAAUUCCAAAUAACCUGUUAUAAAAGAAAAUGUCUUUAGUAAUUACAGAUUUUUCUCCUAAAUGUGAGAAUUUCAACCAUCAUUUUCAGUUGCCUCUUAUUAAAUACAUACAGAUUUUAAGCGUUGUUGAAGUGAUUUCUUAAGUAAUGAUAAUGUUUACAGUAAUACAAAAGAAUUUGUUAGCUGCCUGAACAGCUCAAAGUUUAAGAUGUAAUGACAACACAAAUUAAAUAUUAUGAAUAAAAGAUAAUCAAGCAUUAUGAUUUUAGAAAAUAUCUCAUUUUCAUUUCUCCUCAAAUAACGUUUUAUUUUUGAAUCCCCUAUUUUUAAAAAGAUGCUUAAAGUAUUCAUUUUCUAUGUAUUUUCAUAAAAUAUUCACUAAAUGCUAGCUAUCUUUCUGGAGUAAUUUCAUGUUUUAAACCCAUUUUUGAGUUGUGUUAUUUCUUAUACUGCAUUUGCUCCAAAAGAUGGCACAGAUUUUUUUUCACUCUAAACUGCAUGACUGAUAGCGUUUUAUUUGAUAUAUUCUAUUUCUUUCAUUAUACAACUCACAUAUAAAUAAACAAACUAAAAAAAUUUUACAUAGCUUGCCAGAGAGCGAGAAUCCACACAACAAUAAAGUUGUUUUUUUUGCAGUUCUUCAUUGAAUGUUUUUGGAUGGUAUCCCAGAAUCGGUACAGGGAAGAAAUGCUGAGGGAUGCUCUCUAAAAGGCUUUCAGGCUAAUGAUGGAACAGAACUGAGGGAAUCCUCCCCAGGUAAGCUGUACUGCUACUGCAUGAAUCCAAACUGAAAAUUUAUCUAUGAUGAUUGAAAACAGUUGCCAACAUGGGGAGAAACUGACUGGAGAGAGGCACUGUAGGACUUUCUGUGGA